rnacentral:rRNA from 1 species
AGAGUUUGAUCAUGGCUCAGAUUGAACGCUGGCGGCAUGCCUAACACAUGCAAGUCGAACGGUAACAGGCCUUCGGGCGCUGACGAGUGGCGGACGGGUGCGUAACGCGUGGGAAUCUGCCCAAUAGUGGGGGAUAACCCGGGGAAACUCGGGCUAAUACCGCAUACUCCCCAUGGGGGAAAGCGGGGGACCGCAAGGCCUCGCGCUAUUGGAUGAGCCCGCGUCCGAUUAGCUAGUUGGUGGGGUGAUGGCCUACCAAGGCGACGACGGGUAGCCGGCCUGAGAGGGUGUCCGGCCACACUGGGACUGAGAUACGGCCCAGACUCCUACGGGAGGCAGCAGUGGGGAAUAUUGCACAAUGGGCGCAAGCCUGAUGCAGCGACGCCGCGUGAGGGAUGACGGCCUUCGGGUUGUAAACCUCUUUCAGUAGGGACGAAGCGAAAGUGACGGUACCUACAGAAGAAGGACCGGCCAACUACGUGCCAGCAGCCGCGGUAAUACGUAGGGUCCGAGCGUUGUCCGGAAUUACUGGGCGUAAAGAGCUCGUAGGUGGUUUGUCGCGUUGUUCGUGAAAACUCACAGCUUAACUGUGGGCGUGCGGGCGAUACGGGCAGACUAGAGUACUGCAGGGGAGACUGGAAUUCCUGGUGUAGCGGUGGAAUGCGCAGAUAUCAGGAGGAACACCGGUGGCGAAGGCGGGUCUCUGGGCAGUAACUGACGCUGAGGAGCGAAAGCGUGGGGAGCGAACAGGAUUAGAUACCCUGGUAGUCCAA